GGUUCAUUCAAAUUUCUGCCCUAUCAACUUUCGAUGGUAAGGUAUUGGCUUACCAUGGUUUCAACGGGUAACGGGGAAUUAGGGUUCGAUUCCGGAGAGGGAGCCUGAGAAACGGCUACCACAUCCAAGGAAGGCAGCAGGCGCGCAAAUUACCCAAUCCCGACCGGGGAGGUAGUGACAAUAAAUACUGAUACAGGGCUCUUUUGGGUCUUGUAAUUGGAAUGAGUACAAUUUAAACCUCUUAACGAGGAACAAUUGGAGGGCAAGUCUGGUGCCAGCAGCCGCGGUAAUUCCAGCUCCAAUAGCGUAUAUUAAAGUUGUUGCAGUUAAAAAGCUCGUAUUG
rnacentral:rRNA from 1 species